rnacentral:tRNA from 2 species
GCCCAGAUGGUGAAAUCGGUAUACACAAGGGACUUAAAAUCCCUUGACCUAAUUUUGGUCGUGCGGGUUCGAUCCCCGCUCUGGGUA